GAGUUUGAUCAUGGCUCAGGAUGAACGCUAGCGGCAGGCCUAACACAUGCAAGUCGAGGGGUAACAGGAAGUGCUUGCACUUCGCUGACGACCGGCGCACGGGUGAGUACCGCGUAUACAAUCUGCCUCAUACUAGGGGAUAGCCCGAAGAAAUUUGGAUUAAUACCCUAUAGUAUCUUUUUAAGGCAUCUUAAAAAGAUUAAAGGUUACGGUAUGAGAUGAGUAUGCGUUCUAUUAGCUAGUAGGUGUGGUAACGGCACACCUAGGCUACGAUAGAUAGGGGCCCUGAGAGGGGGAUCCCCCACACUGGUACUGAGACACGGACCAGACUCCUACGGGAGGCAGCAGUGAGGAAUAUUGGACAAUGGGCGAAAGCCUGAUCCAGCCAUGCCGCGUGCAGGAUGACUGCCCUAUGGGUUGUAAACUGCUUUUAUAUAGGAAGAAAAACUUUCUCGUGAGAAAGCUUGACGGUACUAUAAGAAUAAGGAUCGGCUAACUCCGUGCCAGCAGCCGCGGUAAUACGGAGGAUCCAAGCGUUAUCCGGAAUCAUUGGGUUUAAAGGGUCCGUAGGUGGACAAAUAAGUCAGAGGUGAAAUCCUGCAGCUCAACUGUAGAACUGCCUUUGAUACUGCUUGUCUUGAGUUAUUAUGAAGUGGUUAGAAUGUGUAGUGUAGCGGUGAGAUGCAUAGAUAUUACACAGAAUACCGAUUGCGAAGGCAGAUCACUAAUAAUUAACUGACACUGAGGGACGAAAGCGUGGGUAGCGAACAGGAUUAGAUACCCUGGUAGUCCACGCCGUAAACGAUAGUCACUAGCUGUUUGGACUUCGGUCUGAGUGGCUAAGCGAAAGUGAUAAGUGACCCACCUGGGGAGUACGUUCGCAAGAAUGAAACUCAAAGGAAUUGACGGGGGCCCGCACAAGCGGUGGAGCAUGUGGUUUAAUUCGAUGAUACGCGAGGAACCUUACCAGGGCUUAAAUGUUAGGUGACAGAUCUAGAAAUAGAUUUUUCUUCGGACACUUAACAAGGUGCUGCAUGGUUGUCGUCAGCUCGUGCCGUGAGGUGUCAGGUUAAGUCCUAUAACGAGCGCAACCCCUGUUGUUAGUUGCCAGCGAGUAAUGUCGGGAACUCUAGCAAGACUGCCAGUGCAAACUGUGAGGAAGGUGGGGAUGACGUCAAAUCAUCACGGCCCUUACGUCCUGGGCUACACACGUGCUACAAUGGUAGGUACAGAGAGCAGCCAAUGCGCGAGCAUGAGCAAAUCUAUAAAACCUAUCUCAGUUCGGAUCGGAGUCUGCAACUCGACUCCGUGAAGCUGGAAUCGCUAGUAAUCGGAUAUCAGCCAUGAUCCGGUGAAUACGUUCCCGGGCCUUGUACACACCGCCCGUCAAGCCAUGGAAGUUGGGAGUGCCUGAAGUCCGUUUCCGCAAGGAUCGGCCUAGGGUAAAAUCGAUAACUAGGGCUAAGUCGUAACAAGGUAACC
rnacentral:rRNA from 1 species